CGAUAACCACGUCUAGUGUUGACCUAGUAGUUAUCUCCCUUGUGACAGCGCCAAAGCCUGUCGACUUCGUACGAAGUAAAGCAACCAACAAGAAGGCCGCCGCGUAGUGCUUCUUCCUGCCUUACAUCAAUUUACAGCUGCUUUCGCUCUACUGCUGCUGCACUCUCCUAGUUUCUCUUGUUCUUCCAGGAAUCAUGUUCCCUCGCAAAAUCUACUGCAGAAGCCCGGAAUCGACGACUCGGCUACGUAAAAAGCCGUCCUUCAUUCGAACCAUUCAAAAAACAAAAAACAAAAACAAAAAAAAAAAAGGGGUCCGUUUUCGGUGUCCGUCCGUCCGGUCCGGUCCGUCGCCAGCUCAUUGCCUGCCGCUCAAAAUCUACGUCGUCCUUCUUCACAGCGCAAGGGUUGAACAGUUCAACAGGAACCAACAAGUCGGCAGACUGCACCAGGCUCCUAUGUCUGUGUCCUAUCAAAAGACAAGACUGUAGGGUCAUAUACGGGAAGCCUUUGAUCCUAUAUCUGCUCAUUCAGGGUUGACUUGGGAUUAAGCACCAACAUGCUACUAAAAAUAUUUGUCUGAUUAGAGUUACUGAGCUUUAAGCCCAUCUCUUUCCUGGCUACCAUCGAUCACAAAGCUUUAUGACACAAGACAACAACAGACCACCAAACUUCUUUGUGGUUGCUUGACCAAUUAGAAA